UACGUAUGGAGCAAGCGUUAUCCGGAUUUACUGGGUGUAAAGGGGGCGCAGACGGUGAUGCAAGUCUGAAGUGUAACCCCACGGCUCAACCGUGGGCUUGCUUUGGAAACUGUAUAACUAGAGUGCCGGAGAGGCAAGCGGAAUUCCUGGUGUAGCGGUGAAAUGCGUAGAUAUCAGGAAGAACAUCGGUGGCGAAGGCGGCUUGCUGGACGGUAACUGACGUUGAGGCCCGAAGGCGUGGGGAGCAAAC
rnacentral:rRNA from 1 species